rnacentral:piRNA from 1 species
UGACCUUCCCAUAUCCCCAUCCUGUGGUC